AUUGAACGCUGGCGGCAUGCUUUACACAUGCAAGUCGAACGGCAGCACGGGCUUCGGCCUGGUGGCGAGUGGCGAACGGGUGAGUAAUAUAUCGGAACGUACCCAGAAGUGGGGGAUAACGUAGCGAAAGUUACGCUAAUACCGCAUACGAUCUAUGGGUGAAAGCAGGGGACCGCAAGGCCUUGUGCUCCUGGAGCGGCCGAUAUCUGAUUAGCUAGUUGGUGAGGUAAAGGCUCACCAAGGCGACGAUCAGUAGCUGGUCUGAGAGGACGACCAGCCACACUGGAACUGAGACACGGUCCAGACUCCUACGGGAGGCAGCAGUGGGGAAUUUUGGACAAAGGGCGCAAGCCUGAUCCAGCAAUGCCGCGUGAGUGAAGAAGGCCUUCGGGUUGUAAAGCUCUUUUGUCAGGGAAGAAACGGUAGAGGCUAAUAUCCUUUGCUAAUGACGGUACCUGAAGAAUAAGCACCGGCUAACUACGUG
rnacentral:rRNA from 1 species